UGAGUAACCUGCCUUUAACUCUGGGAUAAGCCUGGGAAACUGGGUCUAAUACCGGAUAUGACUCCUCAUCGCAUGGGUGGGGGGUGGAAAGCUUUAUUGUUGGUUUUGGAUGGACUCGCGGCCUAUCAGCUUGUUGGUGAGGUAAUGGCUCACCAAGGCGACGGACGGGUAGCCGGCCUGAGAGGGUGACCGGCCACACGUGGGACUGAGACACGGCCCAGACCUCCGUACGGGAGCAG
rnacentral:rRNA from 1 species